UAAGGAAUAUUGGUCAAUGGACGCAAGUCUGAACCAGCCAUGCCGCGUGAAGGAUGAAGGUCCUCUGGAUUGUAAACUUCUUUUAUCUGGGACGAAAACGGGAUUUUUAUCUCAAUUGACGGUACCAGAGGAAUAAGCACCGGCUAACUCCGUGCCAGCAGCCGCGGUAAUACGGAGGGUGCGAGCGUUAUCCGGAUUUACUAGGUUUAAAGGGUGCGUAGGUGGGCUUAUAAGUCAGUGGUGAAAUCUCCGAGCUUAACUUGGAAACUGCCGUUGAUACUAUAGGUCUUGAAUUAUCUGGAGGUAAGCGGAAUAUGUCAUGUAGCGGUGAAAUGCUUAGAUAUGACAUAGAACACCGAUUGCGAAGGCAGCUUACUACAUAUAAAUUGACGCUGAGGCACGAAAGCGUGGGGAUCAAACA
rnacentral:rRNA from 1 species